GGAGAGAUGGCCGAGUAGGCUGAAGGCGCUCGCCUGCUAAGCGAGUGUAGGGUCAAAAGCUCUACCCUGGGUUCAAAUCCCAGUCUCUCCGCCA
rnacentral:tRNA from 1 species